UCUUGAAUAAGAUGUUACUCUUCCUGGUUCAGAGGUUGCAGUUUAUUGUGCUCAUAGAAAUCCUGAAAGUUUAGAGAGAACUCCCUGUUGAGAAAAUGGAAGUUUUUUUUACUACUGUGUUCUGUUGUCUGAAAUGAAAAUAAUGCAUGGAGAAUGCUUUUGUCCUCUGAAAAUGAAAAUGCUAGCUGCUGAAAUGUGACAUUCAGUCAGUCUCUGAACUCUGAAGAGCCAUGAUUGUGCAAUUUCAGGGGCCCAAAGCCAGCUCGUCUGCUCUGGGUGCUGUAAUCUGCUCAUGUAUCCAGCCGGAGCAACGUCGGUUUGCUGCACAGUUCGUAGUACCGUGACCGCUGUGCCUGCUCCCGAUAUGCACAUCAUUCACUCAGAGCAGAAAUCUAGCUGCAAUGUUCACAAAAAUGUAAAGAGAGAUUAAAGGGGAACACAACCAACUUCCGGGAUCCGCAACAGCACGCGCGUUGCGAUGAUUGUGCCUGCAGUCAGGCCGCUCGCGAAGUACACACUGGAGUUGUGUGUGUCUACGCCGCCGCCGGUGGCCGCUGCGGCCAUGAAGGAGUGUGUGCUUGAUGAGUACGCCACCAAGCACAGGAUCUCCAUCGAUAGGUUUCUCCAGCUUAGGAUAUUUGUCAAGGUGCAUGAUCGGGCUUAAAGUCACUGCAUACGUGAGGUGCUCGAGCAGUAGGAAUCUGCAUCUACCAUGGAUGAUGUUGCUACAUAAACAAAACAAUAUAAUUGCUGGUAUUAUUUUCAACUUUUGGUCCUUUUGACUCUAUUAAAUUCUUUAUCCAUUACUGUUUCUCGAUAGUUUGUUGUGAAUGUUGCCUGCACAUUCAAAUGAUAUGUGGGAUUAGUUUCCAGUCACUGAAGUGCAAACCUUAGCUAGAUCUCUUCUGAUGCAGAAAUCUCACUUUUUGUCUGGGUGAAUUCUACACAUUUCAGACCAGAAAAAUCUUGGUACAAGUCUUAAUACAAGCCAUUUAGUUAUCAGCAUAUAUAUUCACUGUGUGGUAGCUAUACUCUAAAAAAUAUUCAAAGAAAGUAGGGGUGCAGUGGUUAUGCCGCUGUUUAAUAAUCUGCUGAAGGAAAUAGCAACAUUGCAAAGAGGUGCAAACGGUGCUACUUGAUGCUGAAACCUGAGUACCAGUCAUUUUAAUUGUAGCUGUUUGCAGCAAAGUUUUCGCUAAAUGUAGUGCAUAAACUUAAUUUAUUUUUGCCGCUUGAAACUUAUAUAUACACAGGCAACUGUUUUUUUUUUUCAUUUCCAAAGGCUUCCAUCCGUAUUAACCUUGUUUUUUUAUUAAAGUAUUAAAUUUUUGGUUAGCAGUAUUUUGUUAUGUGUUUUAGAUUUAAUGCUUCUAGAAUAUUUCUCUAUAUGUAUUCAUGUUCUAUGAAAAUGCUAUCUUUUGGUGUUCCAUGCAAAGAGGUAUAUAUGUGAACUGAAUGUUGCGGUUAUUUAAAUAUUCACAAUUUGCACACUCAUGAUCUAUUUCAGAAACUUAAAACCAAGUACCCAAUAGUUUUGACAAAUGAACACUAUUUUGUUUGCACAGAAUAAAAAAUGUGAUGAUGCUGUUGGGUUGUUAUUAAAUUGACUAAUUGUUUUAGCCCUUGGUCCCAUCCAAAAAAACUGGCUUUGCAAGCCAACACAUUCAGUGGUUAACGAGUAGCAUAUUUUUAUAUAUAAUGAUAUUACUAAAUGUUUGAGAGUUUUACUUUCAUAUAUGUGCCUUACUUAUUUAUAUAUUUCAGGAGUCUUCUUAAGGAUUAGAUUAUUGUCGUUGAAAAACCAUCCACUAUAGCUGCUACCUCUACUCACUUUGGCACACCAUCUAAAAAUGCAGAGAAGCAGGUUAAUUUAUAGUGGGUGAGCUUAAUCCACUGUAGAAAGCAGAAUAUGAAUGCAACAGGCUGCCUGCUAUGAUUGAUGCUCAUUUAUUCAGAGAUUAUCAUUUAGCAUUCUGGUACUUGAUGAGAAGUUAUAGGUUUGGUCUCUUCUGUGCAUGGGGUCAACCCCAGGAUGGUGAUCUGCAUCUAUGGCUUCCCCACCAAUGUCGCUGCCAUCUAGGUACGAAUCAAUUCAGUCCAAUCAUCUCCUCUAGCAUCUGUUCUUGAUAUAGGAAAAAAAAGUAUUUUUUUGGUAGAUCAUGUUAUGUGAUAGUCGUCCAUGACCUGUUCUACUUCCUUCCUCAGCAUUUACUGUUGUAGGUUUCCACAUUCACUAGGUUUCCAUACUCUUAACACGCAAGAAGUAGAGCCCAAGGUUUCUUAUAUAUUUUGCCUGUUCUACAAGAGGAUUGAGAUGUUUAGUGUAAUCCUUUGUGACUCAUGGACAAAACCAUGUAGGUCCUUGUUGAUAUAUAUGGUGAUCCAGAACUCCUUGUUGCAUAUGGUAUUGUUUUUUCUUUUCCUUUGUGCACACUUAGUUUGUGAGGCAGUUGAUUUUGACCUUCCUUUCCAUAGAAAAAAUAUUUCCUUUUAUGUUGUUUUAAAUUCCAUGUGCUAACUCAGAUUUAUUGUGAUUAGUUGUUGUUGUGCUAAUCUUCAAAUGUUUAGUAUAUUUUGUGCAUUUUGAUGCUCUAUUGCUCUGCAAACCAUGGCUUUUGAAUGCACUAUUUUGGUUGGACAGGUAAAUGUGUUGUAGGACUAUUUUAGCUAGGAUUCAUAAACUUUGCACUACACAUCGCUGCUGGUUUUUGUCCUAAAUAGGGACAGUUAUUUAGGACAUAAUUUGAAGAUUGAAUUUUUCUGCUAUUUGAAUCACAAUUGAGUUGCUGGUGAUAAAUGUUAUCCAAGGCUUGAGUGCUCGACACUAUUUAUUAUUUCAUUCUUUUUCUGAUAUUCCUCUAGCAAUUUGCAUUAAAAAGUUUCUGAUAUUUCUCAAAAUGUACAUAAAAUAAUCUUUAGUCAAAUCAUGAAUUCGUUGACGUGUGAUUGGUUAUAUUGUACGAAACAAUGCUCUCUAGCAGUCAUGCAAGGUGUUCAAUACAUGUGUCUUGGAUAUUGAAACUAGAUUCCAUGGUUUACAUCUCAAUUUUUUUGCCGCACCACAUGAGUUAACCUCUUUGCAGCUUGCUGCAUAUAAUUUACUUGCCACGAUUAAUUACCCAUACAGCUUACCACGAACUAGGGGAAUAACCUCAUUAUGGAAAAUCAAGACAACUUUCUUAAUGUUGUAUCUUGAUGUGCAUUCUUUUGAAUCUAGGCUUAUUUUUAUGCAGUUAAAUUUAUGAUUUAUACUCCUCCAAGUUCCAUCAGCCCGCUUUGUAUAAUAUUAUGCUUUAGAUGGGAUUAGAGGCCUUUCAAAGGCAGAAAGAGAAAUUAUGCUCCUCCAGUUGGCCUAGGCUUCAACUCUGGGUUUUUAUUUCUAUUGCUGGUCAUUCAUACACAAGAUUUCAUGAGCCCACAGUUCACCUUUUGGUCCUACCUCAUUUAUCAGCAUAGGCGAUAGUAGUUGAUGAUUAUAUACCAUUUCCCAGACUAUUCCGAAAGAGCCUAAUGUUGGGGAUAUUUCAAGGAUGCUAAUUGUUGUAAUGGGUGCAAGCCAUGUUAUUAAUGGGUCAUGAGGAAUUAGUCUCUGACCAAAGUAUCUAAAAAAUGCUAAGAAAGACCAAUUUGUGGUGCUACUUGAUCCCAAGAAACAAGGUGUACAGGAAGGGAAUGUGAAAUCGGUUUCUCACUUUUUAUGGUAGUCAGUAUCUAAAUCUUACAGUAGAAACCACCUUGACCGUGCUGAAAUGGCAUGAGUUAUUGAGGCUGCUGGUAGAACACUUGAAACUUUGCCUCAUUUUUGCUGCUUGAUCUUCAUUUCAGCCAAUUGCUUGUUAGCUAUUUAGCUUCAUGUUGCGAUUCAUGUUUUGAGCAGCAUUUGUAAAAUCAUUUAUUUAAGAAAGUGGCCAUGGACAAGCUCUUUUAGAUAUUGCUACCUUACUAUCUUUGGGAGAGAAAAAUGUUGAAUGAACAUUACUAGCCAUGAUUUGGCAAGAGGCCUUCAGAUUACGUGACUAUUUUGUAUUGAUUUGUACUUGUGCUAUUUUGCUUUUCAAGCCAAUUACUUCUAGAAAUGGAUCACUGAGCCUGUACACAUGACACAAUAAGAGCUAAGCUUUUAGCAUUCUCUGAACCCUGACUGCGACAUAGGGUGGCUAAUGAAAUAUGAUCAUUAGUAAAUAUGCUGAGUGCAAUAAACUCUUUUCCAUGUAGGCAAAAAUUUUCUUGUUUGUAAAAAUUGUCAUGUGCCUAGAGCUGAGCUCUCUUCCGUGGCCAAGAUGUUUCUAUAGUUUAGUAAGUGGUAUUUCUUGGUAGACGUUUGGCUAAUGGAACUCAUGUUCUCAGAUAUUCCAAGAUCUUCAGAAGGGAAUAGAUCUUGGUGUAGUCUCUCCUUAGAUGCUACAGAUGUUUUUUUUACCUUGAGAAAUGCCCUGUUAGGGCAUGUUUAAUGGUAGAGACGAGUAUGGUCUCUUAAGCAAUACAAGAUUAUUUAGAGACCGUAUCUUUACAAUAGUAGAGACGACAAAGUCUCUAAUCAUUAACUCAAAAAAUAUUCCUUUUGUUAAUAUUCUUUCCAUUUUUUUACCCUCAUGCAACCAUAUUUCCAUUUUAUAUUGAUUAAGAGUCGUUGUUAAGCUGUUGUUAUGCAUGACAACGAUAUUUUGUCUCUCCUCUUUCUCUUUCUUCCAUGUCAACAAGUAUUCCAAAUUAACAUCACUAAGAGACCACUAUUGACAACCAUUGUACAUGCCCUUAGUGCUUCACAGUUUCCAGGUAAGAAAAUAUUCUUUUUUUUCCCUUCUUAGUGCUUAUCAAUUCUUAGUCUUAUGAAUAAUUCUGUUUUAAACAUAGUUAUCCUAUAAUUUUGAGGCAGAAUAUACAUACACUUCAUUUCAAUAAACCAAAUUUCUUAGCGGUUGUGCAAAAGAUUGCUGGGCAGACCCCAAAUUCUCUUCUUUUUAUUAUAUAUGGCUCUCUUGUUCUUCUACAUUGAUAAACACACUUUUCAGACAAGUUCUUUUGCUCAUGGUUUUGCAUACUGCAGAUAUCCAUAGAAGCAAUUGAAGAUUUACAAGUAAAACAUGCUUUCCAUAAUAACGCAAAAUGUUCCUAUUAUUCUGGUGUGGGUGUCUGAUGAAAGGCUUUCCUUGGAAGUGCAACUGUAGGAUGGUGUUCUUCUUGGGAUGAAAUAUCAAAACAUAUUUUUGAUUUGCUUUAGCUAUGAUACUUCAGCAAGACUCCUGGCUGCCUUAUCUUUUUAUAUAAUUGUCUUGAGCAGUUGUCCCUCAGGUUUUUGCAUAGCUUGUAGGAACAAGAGUAGAGCCAUGGAGGCAUAAUAGCUUGAAGUAAUUAUGGUUAAUGUGCUUACUUAAAAAAGGUGUUUAAUGUUAACAUUGAAUUCUGAAAACUUGAAGCAGAUUUUUCUAAGUGUACCUGGAUGUUUCUUAAGACAUCGGUUUCUUUUGCUA